rnacentral:lncRNA from 1 species
AUUUUGCGAUUUUGGUUUUGGCUCAGGGUGUUUAGAGUUUCGUGCUGAUAAUGUGUUAUAAAAGUAAUGGAAAAGUCUAUAUUUAUUCAUAACAUAGAAGUUCACCGUCAUAGAUAAAUGGAAAGAUUACAAAUCAUAAUCUCUUGAUUACGUUUCGGUGGUUUGCCGGCAAUGAGUCCAGUGAAUCGGGCUCCAGUUCCG